GGUAGUCUCCACACACUGUCUUGGCCCCAGAUCAACCACAAUCCAUAGACUGGAGAACCGUGUAUCUCCCUGCAGAAGAACCACACAGCUGAUCCCUGUGCAUUAUCCAAAUAAUUGUCAACGUGAACAUCCAUGACUAUAGGAACAAAUGCUUAGUAUAAGAAGCCACUGAGUUUUUGAAUGGUUUGUUAAAACAGUGUGUAAAAUCUGACUAGUACAGUUUUUACAUAUCUCUGCAUAGAAAUUGACAGUUUUAUUAAACAUGAUGGCAUAAAAAGGAGUACUUGGAAAUCCAUUCAUAAGAAGAUACAAAACAAAGAAAUGUUUUUAAAAAUAUUUGAAUUAAAAGUGUAAAAUUCACCCCAUUGUAGAAACAUCUAACUGAGAUUCCUUAGAGUAAUGGUAACAAAUUCUGUAGAUAAUUCAGACUUAUUAAAUGUGAUCAAAUCUAAAGUUUAUUCAUAUAUAUUCAUUCAUAUAUAUGUGAAUGUAUGUCCAUAUGUAUAUAUAUAUGUAUAUAUGUAGAGUAUGCAUACAUGUAGAUACAUAUUUUUGAUGUGUUUAUACAAUUAUCUUAUGAAUUAAAUGGAUUAAUAUGACUCUAGUAAACUCCCCAUGAAAAACUGGUGUCCAGGACCAAGUAUGAUAUAGUACUACUAACCUGGCUUGAGGUAUUUUCUUUACAAUCUUUGUUUCUAUAUCAUACACCAAUUGGUAUACUUAUCUGAAUAUAUGUUUUCUCACUCAGUGGAGGUCCAAAGGCUUUGAAUGGAAUUAUUUUUUCCUACCAACCAUUACACUCCAUGAGAGCCCCAUUAUCUCUAUGUCCACAUUCAUGUGAUGAAUUCCAGGAGGAAGACCCCCUGUUCUAAUCACAAACUCUUGGACUCUAAGGACAGGCAAGGACCACAAAAUUCAAAGACUUUUUUUUCUGACAAACAGCGGGGUGAAGCUCCCCUGGGAUGCCAUCCGAACCUGUGUUGGUUUGAUCCCCCAAGAGGCACUGGUUCUGCACCUGCCGCCGACAUGCCCAACCCCUCAGUGAUUUGCAUGUUUCCCCCAGAGCCCAUUUCUGCUCUUCAGCAUCUUCAUUAGAGGCUGCUCAGACACUUGGGGCAAAAAAGAGCCUCAAGCUAGGCCUCGGAUUGAACAUGGGAGUCCUGACCCAACUCCUCUGCCUUCUGCUGGCCUGCCUCCCAGCUGUCCGCGGGCACACGGAGCUGACCCAGUCUCCAGUCUUCCUCUCCGUGUCCCUGGGAGACAGCGUGUCUAUCACAUGCAGGGCCAACGAAAGCAUCAGCGAUUACUUGAGCUGGUAUCAGCAGAAACCAGGCCAGGCUCCUAAGCAUCUCAUCUAUGAUGCUGAUAACCUCAAGUCUGGUGUCCCAGACCGGUUCUCUGCGAUUCAGUCGAACAAAGAAUUCAUCCUCAAAAUCAGCGCAGUAGAAGCUGAGGAUGCUGCCAGUUAUUACUGCCAGCAGGAUUAUAUCCUUCCUCCCACGGUGCUACAGCCCCGAGCAAUAACCUUCCCAGGGCUAGGUGGGGAGGGCAGGAGAAGCAGUGGGCUGUGCUCGAGGUGGUUACAGCAGCUGCAUUCUGCUCUGUGGUUAUUCAUUCUGGCAGGAGCUGCUUUGGGGAAGAGCUAGCAGGGCUCAAAUAUCAAGAGAUUUUGUCCUUUGAAAGCUUCUUUUCUUGAUAACACAAAUCCCAAACCUCAGGAAUUCUUUUUUUUUUUUUUUUUUAAGAUUUUAUUUAUUUAUUUGACAGAGAUCACAAGUAAGCAGAGAGGCAGGCAG